UACGUAGGCAGCAAGCGUUGUUCGGAAUUACUGGGCGUAAAGAGUGUGUAGGCGGUGUUCUAAGUUUGUCGUGAAAUCUCCCGGCUUAACUGGGAGGGUGCGGCGAAAACUGGAAUGCUAGAGGAUGGGAGAGGUAAGCGGAAUUCCUGGUGUAGCGGUGAAAUGCGUAGAUAUCAGGAGGAACACCUGUGGUGUAGACAGCUUACUGGACCAUUUCUGACGCUGAGACACGAAAGCGUGGGUAGCGAACAGG
rnacentral:rRNA from 1 species